CGUGGUGGUAGGCUGUUUUUGUGGAUGUGGUAGCUGGUGGCUGGGGCAAGUAAUGAGCUGGAUCCUGACUGCUGGGAAGAUGUUUCCCAGAGGGUUAUGUGAAGGGAGGCUGUGGUCCUGUGUUCCAGAGUCGGAGAGCCCUUCUGGGCAGAAUUGGGCUUCCGUGGGCCGAGGCUCAUGGAUUGUUUUCCAGCAGAGUCGUCGACGCAUGACUGUGGCGUCUGCGAAGGCCGGAACCCUGUUUCCCGGCCCUCCUUGAGGACUGCGCAAACCUGGGAAACCGGAUGGUGGACUCAAUGCAGAAUGUUGAAGACAGCAGCAUUCCACUGAGAUUAGUGGAGGAUCAUCAGCCAGCUAUUGGAGCCAGGAAACUUUCCAGGAGGUGUCAGCCUUCUCCAUUCCUCUGAGUGUGGGAGUGCAGCUUUUGACUUAGCAGCUCAGCCCAGGAGGAGGCUAUCUAUUCCCAGAGGAUAGCCAGUCCUGAGGAUCAGUAGCUGUCAUCAACGUGGAUUCUGGAAACAUGGCAUCAGCAUUUGGUGCAGAAAUGUGCUCAUUAUGUAUCAGGCCUUUUUGAUUGGCGGUACUGGGGGCUUUUGUAUGCUACCACUUAAGCCACUCUGCCAGCCCUAGAGUGGGCCAGAAUGGCCCUUUAAGAAGGCCAUUUUAAAGUCUCUGGCACUUUUUUCUAGGACAGGCACAUUUGGUAUCACUUUUUAACCUGCCCUACAGUCUAAGUUUCUACAACUUAAUAAACUUUUGUU